UAUAGUAAAUACUAAAUAUUGCGUUCGCUUGUUGUUGUGAGGUGCGCGACGAGACGAGACGCAAUAAUAAUUAAAACGCGUGACCUAAUAACCGUUUUCGUUAUUCAGUGUCUUCAGUCGUCGAAUAUUUUUUGUUCCGAACACACAAACGAUACGCCAACAAUUAUAAUAUAACAUCGACUAUCGUACUAAUAAAAUAGUAUCGUAACGUCGAUUUUCCAAAAUGAACUCUGGGCCGUUAGUACGCUACGCCAUGAUAACCGGUGACGUGCUGGAGACGACCAUCGGAAUGACUGGUUUGACGAUUGCGGCCGCUGCGACCGGCUGGGGCUUGCCAUCGGUCGCGGUCACUUCGGCCGCCGUCGGCGUGUACAAAGUAGUCAAGUUACUGUGGAGAAUACAGAGGAGAUUGCGGUGACAUCUGUCAUGACAAUAUCACGUACACUUUAUCAUUAUAUACAUCCAUAUACAGGACGAUUCGUUUGACGCUCCUUCUCAGUCACCUUGCUAUAUAGUCGGUUUUUGGUGUAAAACGUAUAAAAAGUUUUCGUAUGAGUCAAAUCUUGGAGGACCACUAAGCCCAAAUAAAUAACGAAUAUUAAUUUUAUGGUUUUUUGUUCGUAAGCAUUUGAGACUGUCUUAGAUGAGCUGACAGUACCAUAUUUUAAAAUAGUAAAUAUAUUCUACGACCCCCCCCCCCACCCCACCCCCAAGCAGUUCUUAUCCAAACUUUAAUUGCUUAUGAAUAGUUUAAUUAUCAGUACGAGAAAAAAAGUAAACGGCAAAAAUCGAAACGGUAAAAAAUUAUUGAACAAUCGACUGUAUUAGUAUGAACGUUUUGUGUCAAGACGAUCGUCCUGUAUAUACACAAACCAUAUACAUCUGAAAUCUUAUAGUCAGACAAUUCGUCUACAACCGCGCAGUUUUGCUGAUUCAAGAUGUGACAGUGGAUCGCAAACGCAGCCGCAGAGUAGAAAAAUACAACCAAAUAAUAUAAUGCUGGCCUAGUCGUAAACAUAAUAUAGCAACUCUUUGAACGUGUUUUUCUUGUAAGUGUAUAUCUGUGGUAACGCAGUACAUUAUUAUAUUAUGUAUAUAAUACAGUGUCGCUCAAAACGAAAUGUAAAUUUGUGUGUAUAUAUUAAGCUAAAAUAAAAAAAAAAAAAUAUUAUACGUUAUUUUUCUCCUAUGUAUGUGCAUAUAUUAUAAUAUAAUAUACUUAUAUGAUAUUAUUAUGUAAAUCGUUAAGUGCUAUUACAACAACGAUAUCAUGUCUAUGUAGUUAUAUAUCAUAUAAUGACGAUCUUCUGUAUAUAUAUAUAAUAUACCUACUAUAGUUGUUGUAGUUA